rnacentral:misc_RNA from 1 species
UCCGGUUUGUCACCGGCGGUCUCCUUAGAGUUCCCACCAUUACGUGCUGGCAACUAAGGACAAGGGUUGCGCUCGUUGCGGGACUUAACCCAACAUCUCACGACACGAGCUGACGACAGCCAUGCAGCACCUGUGUUCUGGUUCCCGAAGGCACCCCUCGAUCUCUCAAGGGUUCCAGACAUGUCAAGGCCAGGUAAGGUGGGGAUGACGUUCGUCUGAC